UUUGUACUCCCUCCGUCCCAAAAUUCUUGUCUUAAAUUUGUCUAAAUACGGAUGUAUCUAGUUACGUUUUAGUGUUAGAUACAUUCGUAUCUAAACAAAUGUAAGACAAGAAUUUUGGGACGGCGGGAAUACUAC
rnacentral:pre_miRNA from 1 species